GGAGUUAGCCGGUGCUUCUUCUGCGAGUAACGUCACAGAUGUAAGGUAUUAACUUACACCCUUUCCUCCUCGCUGAAAGUGCUUUACAACCCGAAGGCCUUCUUCACACACGCGGCAUGGCUGCAUCAGGGUUUCCCCCAUUGUGCAAUAUUCCCCACUGCUGCCUCCCGUAGGAGUCUGGGCCGUGUCUCAGUCCCAGUGUGGCUGAUCAUCCUCUCAGACCAGCUAGGGAUCGUCGCCUAGGUGAGCCUUUACCUCACCUACUAGCUAAUCCCACCUGGGCUUAUCCAUCAGCGCAAGGCCCGAAGGUCCCCUGCUUUCCCCCGUAGGGCGUAUGCGGUAUUAGCAGUCGUUUCCAACUGUUAUCCCCCACAAAUGGGCAAAUUCCCAGGCAUUACUCACCCGUCCGCCGCUCGUCAUCUUCAAAAGCAAGCUUUUGAAAUGUUACCGCUCGACUUGCAUGUGUUAGGCCUGCCGCCAGCGUUCAAUCUGAGCCAGUANACUAACAACUCGUACGUACGUAGACGGCGGUGUCGACGACGGCCGAUAG
rnacentral:rRNA from 1 species